rnacentral:rRNA from 1 species
CCUACGGGGGACAGCAGUGAGGAAUAUUGGUCAAUGGACGAGAGUCUGAACCAGCCAAGUAGCGUGAAGGAUGACUGCCCUAUGGGUUGUAAACUUCUUUUAUAUGGGAAUAAAACGUUCCACGUGUGGGAUUUUGUAUGUACCAUAUGAAUAAGGAUCGGCUAACUCCGUGCCAGCAGCCGCGGUAAUACGGAGGAUUCGAGCGUUAUCCGGAUUUAUUGGGUUUAAAGGUAGCGUAGGGGGAUUGUUAAGUCAGUUGUGAAAGUUUGCGGCUCAACCGUAAAAUUGCAGUUGAAACUGGCAGUCUUGAGUACAGUAGAGGUGGGCGGAAUUCGUGGUGUAGCGGUGAAAUGCUUAGAUAUCACGAAGAACUCCGAUUGCGAAGGCAGUUCACUGGACUGCAACUGACACUGAGGCUCGAAAGUGUGGGUAUCAAACAGGAUUAGAUACCCUUGUAGUC